rnacentral:lncRNA from 1 species
AGGACUGCAACUCUUAGGUGAGUCACUCCUUCCUUCUGCUGGAGGAAUGGAAAGAAACAGUAAGGAAGACUUUGUCUUUGCAUAUCAGCUGAGCCACAAGAGGAUAAGGCACCAAACAGAGUUGUGAGGCCCCCGUUCCGGGCCACUGCUCCUAGACAACAUUUCUAGACAUAGGCUGGGCCAGAAGGGAAACCUCUGCAUUGAAGGAAAGAAUUCAUUCCUCAGAGCAUUCAUCACCUGUUAAUUGAAGAUACCUUGAGCCCUGAAUAACCUAAGCAAUACCCAGGUACUAUUAAUACAUUGAGAGCUUUGGAUGAGCAUCUGAGACUAGCAGGUUUCAGGUGAGACUCAGCACAUUUCAGCUGAGGCAGCUAUGAGGCAACAUUCUGUCUUCUUCAGAAAAAUGGAAGGAGAGUAAAGAGACUUUGUUUUGCACCUUAGGUGCCAGCACAGCCACAGCAUGGUAGAGCAGCAAGUGGGCUCUUGGCAUCCCAAAUUGCAGGACUUAGUUCUUGAACAGCAUUUCUGGACCUACCAUGGGCCAUAAGGGAGCCCACUGCCCUGAAGAGUGAGUCCCAGGCCAGGCAGCCUUUACUACAAGCUGAUUUAAGAGCCCUUCAGCUUUAAGAGAACACUGUAAGGGAAGAAAACAGAGCUGUCUCUGCCUGGCAAUCCAAAGAAUUUCCUGUAUCAUGUCCAAGACCACUGAGGCAGUACU